GGUCGCUCAAGGGUUUGAUGAAGACAGUUCAUAUUUCAAAUAGAUUGCUGAACCCUUAAGGUGGAGGAGAUAUUUAGGAAGGCUAUUCCUGUAAGUAGGGACCCAAUGGGGGCAUGGUUGCAGUAAUGCAGGAAAGAGACAAAAGGGGUCAGAGUCGGGAUAUGGGACAAGAUACAGAGGGGCAUUUAGGAGCCCACUCAGGAAGACCCCAUCAACUGGUUGGAUGUAAAGCUGAGGAAGUAGAGACGGGUACAGCGAUUACAUUCUGUAAUGUAAUGGGCGCUGGAUGGGAAGAGGAGAGAGGUGGGUGAUGGGGUGGGGCUGGUGAAGUGGAGCUAGUGGGGUGGGGACUAGGUAGGGCUGAGCUGGGUAUGGGGAAAAGGAAGCUCUUGUUUUGUUGUAUUUUGGGGAUUGUUUAGAACAGGAGGGCGCUUGACACAUUUAGGGACUGAGCGGGGAAGAAACAAGUAGAGUGUGAUAAAUUGAAGGUGCAGGAGAAAGAUGAAGAGGCACGAUCCUAAGAGGACUGGAGGAGGCUCAGAUGAAAGGCAGCAAUGCAGCUAAAAUGUUCCCACAAACGUUCAGGUACAGGGGAGCUGUCAAGAUCAGCGUGCCACGGAGGCAAAACAAGGAACUUGGAAGAGCCAUAAACUGCACACCACCCCCUCCUCAAAUAACCCCAGGCUUAGCAAAGGAGCCUCUGCAAGCAGAGAUGGAGUUUGUAAGGAUUAAAUUUCCUCCUCCCACAAGCCCCCAAUUGCAAAAAGCCAAACUUUCUGGGUUCUUCCUACCAAACGACUCCCUUCUGACCACCAGAGGUCAGGCUGCAGUUAGGAACAGGCAGUAGGUCCCCAAAGGAGAGAUCUGACCUAGUUCCUCCCAGGCCCUCCGGGGCACGUCUGGAGCUCCCCCAGACUCACCCAAGCUCGCCCAGCAGGGGCCUGUGGAUUCCUUUCUCCUCUGUAAUGGACAGGGGCAGGCACACCAGAAGCUGCCUGGAGUGUGAUAAACCGAAGGUACGAAGAAAGAUGAAGAGACAACAUUUAAGAGGGCUGGAGGAGGCGCAGCGGAGGAGAAUGAGCCUCCUGAAUGAGUCAUCCCCCACUUCAACUUAUUAGGUUUGAGAACCACUCACCUAAGAAUCCCGCGAAGCAGGGAGCUGAUUAAAAAGCAGAUUUGGCUGGGCACGGUGGCUCACGCCUGUAAUCUCAGCACUUUGGGAGGCCGAGACGGGUGGAUCACGAGGUCGGGAGAUCGAGACCAUCCUGGCUAACACGGUGAAACCCCAUCUCUACUAAAAAUACAAAAAAAUUGGCCAGGCGUGGCGGCGGGCGCCUGUAGCUCCAGCUACUCGGGAGGCUGAGGCAGGAGAAUGGCGUGAACCCGGGAGGCGGAGCUUGCAGUGAGCCGAGAUGGCG
rnacentral:lncRNA from 1 species